UCAAUUUAAGUCAUUUGUUUUUAAUUAUGUCAUCAAUCCAUGUUAUCCUAUUCAAGGGUGCAUAAUAUUAAAAACAAAACGUUUCUACCCUCUAUUUUGUUCAUCAACAAUUCUACAGACUUCCUAAGUUAGACAUUUAUCAACUACUAUAAAUACCAGUGUUUACCAACAAACCAUAAAAAGCCACCCAAGUACAAUUCUUAGAAUAAUUUGCAAAUGUUUAACGUUUCAAACUUCUGGUUUAUCAAUAGCAUGACUGCAACAUAUACAUGAUGUUCAGAAUCUCUUUAAACCAAAAAGGAUAGGAAGCAAAUGAAUCAUACAUUAUAGAUGGGACUGGAAAGCAUCCACUGUCCUGCCCAUAUAUAUGUCACAACAAACCACUGAUCAUGCAGAAAAAUUAAUUACUAUAUUGAUUUUUUUAAAGUAUGGUAUUUAAAAGUAGGUUUGUCAGUAAUGUCUGUAUAUCUGGAAAUAACAAGUGUUUUAGAUAACUAAAUACACAGCAAUCUAGAAAUCAUACUUAACAGUACAGGCUUAUUUUACCAUUUCAUGUCUACAAGCAUGAGAAAAAGUUUAUGUGCUCUAACUUUAGGUGGAAUAUAUUCAAAAAUAUGACAGAAAUGUCUGUCCAUCAAUAGUUAUAUGUAGUAUAAAAACAAAGAUCUGUUCACAUUUGCACACUAUUUAAUAACAACUUGCCACACACCAAGUGAAAACACAUAGGGGUGGUUUUAUAAUACUUCUAUUGGUAAUAUAGUUUUGGCCAUAGUUGUUCAACAUUAAUAGAUUUACUGUGUGUGUAUGUAUGCAUGCUGUGUAUUUGUGUGUUUGUCAAUAGGGUUAUUUCUAUACACUUAGGAAAGCUUGUCCAUUAUAUAUAUGCAGCGCUAAAAUGCUUCCCUGCUCUGUUCAACAUUUAACAUCCAAAAUUUAUACUGAAAUUUGAAAUUAUUCAAAUCUCAUAUUUAAAAAUAUGAAUGUAAAUAAUUUCUAUAUUUAAAAAAGUGUCUUAAAAAUCUCAAUAACAUAAAGAGACUUUCAACUAUAGAGAACAAACUGAGGGUUACCAUAGGGGAGGUGGAGGGCAUGGGUUAAUUAAGCGAUGGAUAUUAAAGAAUGCACUUGUGAUGAGCACUGAGUGUUGUAUGGAAGUGCUGAAUCACUAUAUUGUUCACCUGAAACUAUUAUUAUACUGAAGGCUAAACUAACUAGAAUUUAAAUAACAACUUAAAAAAAACCCACAAAAAUAAACAUCAAAAUCAAUCCUAACUCAUGAGGAUGCUCAAUCUACUAUAGCUACCUAUAUCAAUUAUAGCAAUGUUUUCACUUUUAACAUUUCAAUGAAAAUAUAUUUCUGAAAUUAUUGACAUAAAUUAUUUAUCUAACGUUUUAUAAAAUGACACUGACCUAUAUAUACACAAAUACUACUACAAUCUCCAGCACCAAAUACAUCCCAAAUAGAAAUGGUACAGUAAUUCAAUUUGCCAAAAUAAAAUGUUUUAAUUGUCUCUCAGAUUGGUAUUUCAAAAUAUGUGCCUAUCAGCAAAUUUUGUGCAGAUGUUCUAAAACAAAAACUAAGAUCUAUCAGUCUAUAUAAUUCAGGUAGCUAUCAAUACCUUCCAGCAGCUAAAGCUCAUAAGCUAAAACUCCCUAUAUCAUCCAUCACCAAACAACACAAAGAGCAGACUAAAGCUGAGUGAUAAUUAUUUGGCCAAUAAGUAUUCUUAUGCUAGGAUCCUUAAUAAAUACUUAUUUUAUAGACAUGUAUCCAAUACAUCUGUGUGUAUAUAUACAUGUGUGUAUGAAACCAACCCCUAAAAUCGAGUAUUAAAAGUUUAAAGCAGAAACUAUUAUAUAUUAUCCUAGCUGUUUUACACAAAAUAAUCUAAGAAUAUACACCCUGGACUUCAGCUGCCCAAAUAUUUACUAAUAGAUAAUCUGAAAACUCUUAUGGGUAAAUUUUCACACGAUAUAGAAUUCAUGUAUUUAUACAAAACAUGUUGAUAUAAUAGUUUCUAUACAUUAGGAAAACAGUAACUGUGCCUAUUAUAUAUACAUUUUAUAAACAUUUCUUUGUUCAGGCCAUAUUUAAUGACCAUAGGUUUGACAAAACAAUCGCAAACAUCCCCCAUAGGAACUUAUAAUCACCUAUACAACUAUAAGAGUAUUUUAAAAUAACAACAAUCCAGUUAUCAUUAAAUGUUAAAUUCCACUGACCUAUGAGAACUUUCAUAACCUGUUGUUUAACCACUUGUAGGAUUUACCUGGUAACCCUAUUCUGUUUGUAUACAAACAUCUGAAAACCAUGAACAAAGGCAAAUCAACACUUAUGACAUUUCUACCAUGAUGAUUCUUAUCUAAAACAAUAUUAAAUAUUAUAUUACACACUACAUAUUACCAUAACCUAAUGAUCUGAUGAACACCUGAGACUAGAUAUAAUAUCACUUUUGAGAAACAAAAAUGCCUAUCCUAAUAAGAUGAUACGUAUUUUUAGCAAUGCCUAAUACCAAGAUUAGAUGUUAAACAAUUACAUUAUAUAUUUUAACAAAAGAUGUAACAAUAUCCACUGAAUAGGAAUUAAUGUUGAGAGGCAAUUUAACAAUUCCACCCUUAAAACAUUAACAAAUUCCCACACCUGUACUAACAUUACAGUAUUAAUAACACAUAUGCAGGUUCCCAACAUCUGAGCAUGGAGUAAAACCUGGCUGUUAAAGAACUAUCUCUGAACUUAUGCAUACACAUAUAGCCCUCCAUAAUUCCCUGUUCUCUAACUUCUAAAUUCUGCUUUUGUUUUUCUAAUAUAAACAUUCUAAUAUAAAAAUUCCUCUAUAUUCUAACAAUUAAAAUGCCCCAAAUAUCAGCCAUCUCCUGCUUAAUAGGAUGUUUUAACACACUUUUUUUUUUCAAUUAUAUACAGGGAAAUAAAAAAGCCCAUCAAACAUGCAUAGAGGCAGGCCUCUUAUGCAACAAUUCCAUCUUGAAUAUUAAAUCUAAUACAAGUAGUAACAUAAAGACUAUUUACAGAAUAACAUCUACACCACACAGAGCAGCCUUAACAAUAUUACUAUGUGACAACUGCAUACAGAACAAUCCCCAUCCGCCACAAAAUGCAACAGCAAUAAUCCAAUCAGAUUUUAAAAUGUCCAUUGCCAAGAGGUAUCCUAACAGGUCUGUUUCUAUAACCGUGUAUUGAAAAUAUUUCCUAUACAUAUGUUAGCAAACUCUUUCUUAGCAAUCAUAAUACCUUAAAGUCACAAAGCAAUUACAUUUGGUUAUUUCAUCUAAAUACUCUCAAAAUGCACAUAAUUAAAUAGUACCUUACAUUUUUUCCUGAUUAAUAAAGACUCCCCAUGUCCAUUUCCUUUUUGCUACCCAUAAGCACUCAAACAAUGAAUCCAGAAUUGUGUAGAUCUUUACAAAACUGCUUCACUUCUUUCUAAAGUCUUUUUCAGAAAGAAGUCUUACCAAACAUGUUUUUAGAAACCUCCUUAGGAAACCAACUCUAUUAUCACAGCAACCACUUAAAAAAGGAUCUAUCCACAAUAAAGAUUGGCUUAUAAAUGUAGGUCUCUGUGCUUAAGCAUUAGAUUCCAAAAAAGAUUAAGCAAAGAAAGAAAACACAAUAAAAAACUAAUACAUGUUGAAUUUCAUUCUCUUCACCUCCUAAUAUCCAAUGAAUAGUUCAUACAUACUCAUCAUUUACUAAGUAUUUCACAUUUCCAUUUCAAUACCAUUUCCUAAUCAUAAUUUUCUUAAGCAUUUAAAUAAAUUUUUAAGCUAUAUAUGUCCAAUAAAUUAGUUAACAGAUUAGGUUCCUAGCUGUUUUAAAAUGGCAGGUAGGGGAAGAAAAAAAACGACUAAUAUUUGUGUUUAUCACGUAUGCAAUAAAUGUCUAAUGCAGGACAAUUACCGGUCAAUAUUUUGAUGGCAAGUUGAUACUCCAUAGAAUGAAAAAUACUGAGAUAUAUUUUCCAAAUCCAAAGACUGACAAUGAAAUAUAAAUAUUUGAAAAGAAAGAUGAAUUUCAGGAUAGUAUAUGUCUAAUUUAUUUUGUCUGUGAUUUUUGUAGUUGUUAAUGCUUCUAGCUCAAUUCAGGACGUGUGGUUUCUCUCCACAUAUUCCUAGAAGGCUGGCUUGUAUUUACUUGAGAUUGUCCACACUAGACCAAUACAACAAGUGCCAUCCAUUUGAAAAUCAUUUUCAAUUCAGUAGAAAUACGUUCACACACUUCCAUUUUGGGGAAUAAUUUGGAAUGAGAUGCUAUGAUGAUCAUGUGUACCAUGAAAUAGAGUAGAUGAUGUACAGAGUGUCUCUAUAGGGUCCUGGUCAAAGAACCCUUAAAUCAGCAUGAGGUUUAAACUUUCAUAGCAGUCCCUGUAAGUAAAAUUGCACAUGAUACUCCAAAAGAAUUUGAAAAUUACAAUUUUAUCAAUGCAGAUAUUCAGACUAUUCUCUCCUGUUCAUGUUAAUGGAGAAAAGGUAUGUACAUUAUCCUAAAUCAUCCUAAAUUUUAAUCACAUUGUUUUUUGCGGCACAAAUUUCUUAUUCAGGAGAUAAAAGUGAAAGAAGGUCACAAUAUUUACGAAUACAAAUGUUCAGUGACUGAAAGUGGAAAAACUUCCAGUUUUAAGAGUGGCAAAAAAAAGCUCUUAAUAUUAUCAGUUUAUAUAAUCUUUGUCCUCUUCACUGAUUAUUGCUUAUUUCUAACACUCU
rnacentral:lncRNA from 1 species